AAGGCAAAACCUUGGGGAAGCCGUGAACUAAGCUACUGUGUGUUUCCGGAAGAUUUUGCCUCAAUGAUGCUCGUCUUUUUUCUUUUUCUUUUAAUGUUUUAUUUAUAUUGUUUUCUUUUAUUUUUAAAAAGCCAAGACUUUUAUAUAUUAUUUUUUUAAUUGGGGGAACGGGUCUCUAGUAGAUGGGCCUGGGGCCUCACCGCACAGCUUGUUCAUUGGCACUGCCCCCAGAAUCCUGUGGCUUCGUCACAUAUGGACGCUCCAGAGGACUAGAAAAGGGGUGGCUGCGCAGAGCUUCCAGGGCGUCAUCUGCUCAGAAGGCCAGGCCCACCGUGGCUGGGGCCAGGAGCUGUGCUGUCUGACUAGUGACGCCAAACUCACUCAGAGUUUUCCUGUCAUGAAGGAGUUGGUCCUUGUAUAGCUUCUGCUUCUCCCGCGGCUGCUUAGGGAUGCCCUGGACGUUAAGCUUCAGCUCGAACACCGUGCUCGACUCCUUGACUUCAGUGAAGAUGGUGGUCUUAUGGCUCCCGAUCAUGAGAAACGCGUCCUGAAGACACCAGGCUGACAUCAGUGCUUGUCUGAAGCAACCUGCCGGGCCCCAGAGCCCCUGAAGCCCCACCCCCCCGCCAGCCCUGCGCCGCUCCUCCGGUGCCCGCUCACCUAUGUUUUAUCUUUGAUGUUAUAUGCAUCGGUGUUUUGCUUGCAUGUCUGUCUGCCUGGGUGCGGUUAUCAGAUGUCCUGGAACUGGUUAUGGACAAUUUUUGAGCUGCCAUGUAGGUGCUUGGAAUUGAACCCAGGUCUUCUGGAAGAGCAACCAGUGCCGCUAACCACUGAGCCAUCUCUAGAGCCCCUGCUUGGUUUUUUGUUUUGUUUUUUGUUUUUUUCUUGAUCACUGAAAGUUUCUCCGCUCCAGUGACCAGCAUCAAGUAUCACAGCAAAGCAAAGGUUUCAUCUAGUGGCCUGGUAUCUUGUGAACCACAGCUGAUUCUCCAAACCUCACUUAAUCAGAACCACCAGGAAGGAUCUUGGCAAGACCGGAGAGCCUGCUGAUACUCAGGAUCUGGUUCCAGAACUGAUGUGCUAGAGAGUACCAGAAGAAGGCUCAAAAACUACCCGGGAAGCCUGGAUGUGGGACUCAAGAUAGGCCUACAGACCCCAAAGGCUGGGAACUUCCUGUUUCCUCUGCCAGUGCAGUUUCUUUGUGCCAGAAACAUGUGGAAGUCUGCUGUCCUCAACUCAGUCCACCGAGUACCUCCCCAGACCAGGAAUCCAUCUUCUCCAACACUGAUCCAGCCUGUACGGAGCUCUACCCAAAAAUACAAGAUCUAGGCAGCAGAGGGAAAAAGCUAUAGUAAAACUGUGGAAGCAAGGCCAGAGUACUGUGCUAGAUCUGCAGCCCCAAAGGCAGCGCCUUUCCCCUGGCCUCUGACUGUGGGCAUUCCUUGUCCCAGAGACACUGUCUUGAUUGUUCUCCUCCGCUUAGCCCUCCAAAUAUUUCCCCAGGCUCAGAGUCCACGUUUCCUAUGUGGGGAGAGACCACCAUGUGUCAGCCCUCCUCCCCCACUAAGCUCUGUAUGUUCUGGAAUCUGUCUUCUCCAUUGCUCAGACCAACAAGAGUCUCUCAUGUGAAGCCCUGGUGUCUGUACAGGUUGACCAAGCCGCACUAGACACAAUCGCAGACCAAUCAGCAGCAGCUUAUGCAAUAGCUACACACCCGGCUCUACCCCAAGACCUUCCUUAAAGGAGCUCCAAACGCCAUCAUAGCUUCAGAAGCUCCGGUGGUAGCUGUGAAGGUAGCUAGAAGCCCAAGGGAAACUCCAUUCAAAGGGGGGGGGGUAUUUUUUAAAUUUUUUCAAAUUUGAUUUUAUAUUAAAUAUUUUUACUACAUAGAAAAUAUACGGCUAUUUUAAUAUAACAUUUUUACUGGUUCUUAGAAUGUUAGAUCAAACGCCACCUGGUCAUAUUCAUUUUCCCCAUCCUUCCAAAUCCACCCAAACUUGUAACCUUCCAUAACAAAAAUAGUUAAAAAAUAAAAUAAAAUAAAAACAAAAACAGGA